rnacentral:misc_RNA from 1 species
GAAAUGCGAUAAGUAAUGUGAAUUGCAGAAUUCCGUGAAUCAUCGAAUCUUUGAACGCACAUUGCGCCCCCUGGCAUUCCGGGGGGCAUGCCUGUCCGAGCGUCAUUUCUGCCCUCAAGCACGGCUUGUGUGUUGGGUGUGGUCCCCCCGGGGACCUGCCCGAAAGGCAGCGGCGACGUCCGUCUGGUCCUCGAGCGUAUGGGGCUCUGUCACUCGCUCGGGAAGGACCUGCGGGGGUUGGUCACCACCAUAUUUCACCACGGUUGACCUCGGAUCAGGUAGGAGUUACCCGCUGAACUCAAGC